AUCCAUCUGUUGCUCCAAAGGGUGAGGAUCCGGUGUUGACAGGCACGUGUGAGACGUGUCUUCUCCCUCACACUGCGUUUCGUCCACACAUCACCCAUCUGACG